rnacentral:rRNA from 1 species
CCCUUAGAUGUUCUGGGCCGCACGCGUGCUACACUGAGUAAAUCAAUGGGUAAGGGAACACGAAAGUGCAACCUAAUCUUGAAAUCCGCUCGUGAUGGGGAUUGACGGUUGCAAUUUUCCGUCAUGAACGAGGAAUACCUUGUAAGCGCGGGUCAUCAUCCCGCGCUGAAUACGUCCCUGCCCUUUGUACACACCGCCCGUCGCUCCUACCGAUUGAGUGGUCCGGUGAGGCUUUGGGAUCUGAGCAAAAAGAGCGUUUCGCUCGUUUGGCUCGGAAAACUCAGUCGAACCUUAUCAUUUAGAGGAAGGAGAAGUCGUAACA